UCACAUUUAGAAAAAUUCAUAAAACAAAAAGAGCCUAAAUUCAUAUCAAUUUUUCCAUCUAAAUCUAAAUGAAAUAUAGCAUGAAGAAUAUUAUUGUACUUAAAAUGAAGUUUGAGAAAUUUUAUAAUACAAACUUAAGAUGAAAAAUUUCAUCAUUAUAAAUUGAGAGAUGAUGAUGGAUGGAAUUAAGCCUAUUCAUGGUGAAAACGCCAACGAAACCAUGUGGCCAAGUUCAUGAGAGACUUCCUUAUAAUGUUAUACAGGGGUAAAAAGAGUAGCUAAACCUUGAUCCACUGUUAUUUGAAGUUUAUCAUAGACCAUCAAAGUCUUCUGCUCACACUCGUAUGAUCCAUUUCCUCUGGCAAGGACCUCACCAUCUACAUCAAUGAUCCCUCCCUUCGUUGGAUCAUUAGUGAGUGGACCAGGCUCCAAAACAAAUGCUUUCACCUGCAGUUUGUUGCAGAACAGAAAAUCCAUGCUAAUUGUUAUUAAAUCACAUGGAGGGAACAGCUAAAUUUUGUUUAGGAGGACAUUCGAAAAUUAGAAGACUAAAUUGAUACAAGGGGAUUUCUCACUACCUGCCCCCAUUACAUCUAAAGUAUCAAGCUAUUCUAUUUAUUACAAACAUCAAUUCUCAACUCAAAUCCAAGUUGUAAUGCAUCAAACUGAAGAAAAGCCAUGCAGAGUGUACUAAAAGCCAUAGAAAGUAAACAAAAUGAAGUUAAUUAUCCACAUUUAGUAAACAAACCUUGACGUAAAUAACAUAUGGUGAUCUGACAUGACCUCCAUUAUUCAACUCUGUCAUCAAUGUUAGUAAGGAUAACUUUGGGCAUUCCUUGAUGAAUAUCAAGUCCAAAUAACCAUCUGAGAACUUGGCAUCAGGUGCCGCCAUGACGUCCUCCCCACCCCAAGGUACAUUAUGCAGCCAGAUUGAAACAAAUGGUCCACUAAUUGUCCUCCAAUCCAGAUUGAUUAAGUUAACAUCAGGUCCCUGAUAACCAUGUUGUUGAAUCUUAACAUGCUGUUCUUGGCUGGGAAUGCAAAUACUCUGUUUGCCAGUGGAUUCACCAUUGUAACUACUUGGCUCCCCAUAGGCUUCAAAUCCAGGUGCAGGUACAAAAGAAAUGCGCCCAUUAUAUUGCCUUAGAUGGAAUAUCCGUUGGAUAGCGUAGAAAUCAAUACGAGCACUCCCCAUCCACCGGUAUUUUUCAGAUUCAAUGUCAAUAUCUGCUACCAGACCCCAUGAUAGCAUCAAGACACUGAAAAAUUUUGUUUCUCCUUGCAAGAUGGCAGCUACAUCCAGUGAACACUUAUGGCCUCGUAUUAUUGCAAGAAUGGCAUUAGAUGCUUUACAGGGUUCCCCAACAGAAUCCAGAAGAGAUUUUGCCAUUCCAUUUCCUGUACCUGCAGGGACCAUUCCAAGAGGCAUUUUUAUUGCAUCACUCCAGUCCUCUCUUGCUAAAAGUCCAUUUACCACCUCAACAAGGAUGCCAUCUCCGCUAACACAAACAAUACCAUCAUAUUUGGUGAGAUCAAGGGCACUAGCAAACUCCUUGGCAUGGAGCUGAUAUUUUGUUUCUUGCACUGUAAUUUGGACAUCAGCGUCUUCCAGCAACGGUUUUACCACAUCAAGAAAAAUUUUUGAUGCAGAUUUUUUUCCCCCAAAUGGAUUCACAAACACAAACAGUCUCUUUGGCCGACCGAGAGAAUCGAGGUAAUCACGGAGAUGCUGGAACCAAAGUCUCUGUGAGUCCUCAUUUAGAGGCUGGAACACAAAAUCCUUCCUCACCAGAGGUCCCUUACUCCCUGCACAGCAGAUUCCAUCUCCGUUAUCCACAACAGCCUUGAUCCUUAUUUUAGCUCCCUCGAUUACAAACCCAAGCACCUCUUUUUCGAUGGUCAAACAUCGUUGACCUCUUUCCGUCCACCGAAGCUUCCCUUCUGCUGUUAAAGUCAACAGCGUGACGGUUCCAUUGACCGUGACCCGCUCCGAUAUUAUGGACUGUGGCGAGCUCUCGGAUUCAUCCAUUUUGGGUCUCAAAGAGGGUAGUUCAGCUUCUUUGUUAGCUCGAUUCCGUUUAUAUAGAGAACCGGUUGGUGGCGGCUUUUGGUACGGGCUCUGCUUAAAAGAACCUGGCGAUUAUGAUUGCUUCGAGUUGCACGCCAGCUGAGGUUGGUUGGUAAGGGAUAAAGUCA
rnacentral:misc_RNA from 1 species